rnacentral:lncRNA from 1 species
GAGUCUUGUGUCAGCAUCUUGAUGCGAGGUACAACUUCUAGGUGAUCUUCUUCAUGUUUUACGUUGUUGUACUUUUUGCUGCAAUGUGGACGUACAUAUUCUAGCAGAUAUAUCUUCAUGCUUUACCUUGUUUACCACUGCCCUGAUGUGGAGGUACAGAUUCUAGCUGAUAUAUAUCGUCAUGUUUUACCUUUUACCAACAUCCAAGAUUUUUGUUUCCUCAUUUCUUUCAAUUAGAUAGAAGAUGGGACGUGCUUUGUUGUAGUUUCCUCUUACUUUGACUAAGUAGGACAUUUUUUUGAAAUACCAAAUUGUGGUGUCGCUACCCCUACGCACCACGGUUUUGCAGCACCCUCAGCUAAAGUAAACCAUUCCAAGCCUACCAUACUCGAAACAUGGAAGCAUGCAAACUUCAGAGCAUCUUGGUGUCGCUGGCCACCCGAUCUCUACAACCACCACAAAAUGCUACAGGACCAACCAGGCCGGUGUCCUGACCACUGAAUCAUGUCACUGUGUGGGCGCCUAGAUCUCCCAUGUGUCUGUCUAAAGCCUGAGGGGCCAACCUCGCUCGAGCGUCGCCAGCCAGCACUCAUCUGCACAUGAACAAAUGGUUGGAUAUAUGUGCCUCCUCCGUCUCUUAUUCCCCGAAACAUAAUUUGAUGAGUAGAGUUUCUAAUCAUUUAUGGCACACUGGCAUAUGAUUAAACUGCACAAGUUAGAUUGACAUUUUGUGGAGAACGGUCGUCGGUUGGGAGCCUCGCCGUCUACCUCCACCAGCCGGCCCACACACCAUUGCUCCCCGCGUGUCGCGCCCCUCCCCGAACCAUCAUGCCUUCUAAUUAGUGUACGUGGUAGUCUGGUAAAAGUGGAGAAUAAUUCGGGUAAUGUCUAUGGAUGUACUACCAGUAUUGCGGCUAACCUGCCUGGCAGUGAGAUGCAUCUAGAUUAGAUCUGAUUACUGAUAUAGAAGAUGCAAUUAAUUAUCUAAAAUUUUCCUUGUACCAUUUUCCAUGAGAUUAAUGUAAUUGGGAAUACCAGUGCUUGUUUGAAUCAUUUAGUUAAAUAAUUUUAUAGAUAAAACUUGUAUUUGUAUGUUUUGGAAUUACUAUUAUCCUGGUAAAAUGACCACAAGUGAAAGGGUUGUAAAGAUUAAUUAUUCUUUGUGGAAGCAUUACUGGUCUAAUUAAUAGAUGUACAUGCAUCAAUAAUGUUGUUGAGCUUUAGUUGAUUCUAUAGUGUUGUACUAUUCGCAAAGUUCUAUUUUGAGAAAAAAAUGGCAAAUUCAAUAUUGUGCCAGCUAAAUGGCGCACCCGCUGUAGCAAGUGAGUUCCCAUCAAAAUCACCCUGAGCAUAUUUUUGCUGAUUUUCAUGAUUGCUCUUCUGCCAGGAACAAUGUUCCUGGCACUUCGACCACACAACUGUAUGUUCAUGUUCCAGUGUCCUUAUUCAUAGUUAAUUUCAAUCACAAAGUGACAAAUGUCAGUCUAUUAGUUAACAUGUGUAUCUCCGUUUCUUCUAAGUUUCAAUCGACCUACUCUGAAGUUGUUCCUAAGAUAGUGCCUCAAGCAAAGGGAAUGAGCCUCAGUUAGUGCAUCUAGCAAGUUCGUGAUCCUUUGUUGGGAUAAACAUUUGUGCAAGAGCAAUAGUCUCGUCACUAUUGGUUGUUAGUACUGUUGCUUGUUAAUUCUACUUUUUACUUCAGUUCGUAAUGCAAUAUAGUUAUGCUUGACGCACUAUAAGAAGACUGCCAUUUUGCCUUUUGACCUUGGUUUCUUCCUCCAGUAAGUAAAUGCACAUAGUUCUUUUGUAAAUUAGAGCAUACGACUUGUUGAUCGAUCUCUGAGCUCAGUAAUAAUAUUAAGCCUCAAUCUGUUUAUUGUGCACACAAGAUGAGAAAGAAUUGCUACCCAAGAAUAUGUACUUUAUAAACAUUUCAACUGUAAUCUGGAAAAAAAUUAAAUAAAUAAGGAAACAGUAUAUUCAUAUAUCUUUUUUGUACUUUGAUGGUGUCACACCACAAGUUCCGAGAUGGUAAUUGUGCUGCAUAUGUCUGCUCUCUUACUUUGUUUUUCUGAACAGGUAGGUUCUGGAAGAUGUCAUGAAGAAUUUCUUUCAGAGAAUUUGCGUGAGGAGUGUCUAAAUGAUUUUUAUCUUCUGAACAUAUUCUUGUAUGACUAACUGAAUUCAUUUUUUCAAAACGUCGGUACUUUUCCUUUUUCAUUUAUGUUGCUCGAUUGAGUCCACAUGCCUGCCCUUACUGAGUUUGCUCAAGAGUAAGAUAAACUUGAUAUUUAUGUUUGUCGGCAGCAGCGUGACUAGCUGAUCUGUAGCGGCGCGGAAGGUGAGCUUGGCUGCAGGUAGCAGCUCCUUUGGCUGAUCUGCGGCGAUGCAGAAGUUGGGUUGGAAAGAAGCACGACCGGCUGCUCUGAAGUGGGACGUAGGGAGAGCUUCGUAAGAGAUAGGGAGGGAGCUCUAUUGGCCCGUGCAUGACAUCCAACCCAAUGGCAUCAUGCCCUGGUAAGCUUCUUAUCUGUUCCAAUUCUUGCACUUGGUCUUUUUCUUUCUAACCCUAAAAAUAGAGUGUGCCUUGAUUCCUAAUCAUGCUUUAAAAGCUGAUAUCCACCUCGUUUAUCUUGCUACUAGUGGUAAUGUGUGCAAGUAUGAUUUUGUGAUAAUGCCAGAUGUUGUGUGCCUUCUUUAUUCAUGGUACGAGUACUCUAACCUGGCUCGUAUGAUAAUGUAUCACUGCUAUAGAGCACAAACGACGUGUUUUUUAAUUAUAUUUUAGUUGACAUGGAUUUCAUUUAUCUUGUGAAUUGUAUAGUCAGAUCAUGAAUUUUUAUGAUUGAUUGAUUUUCAUGGUCACAGGUAGGCAUGGUUGUGUGGCCACGGGGAAAAUGGAGCAAGUAGCAUGUGAGGAGUUUAACAAAUGGGGACAAGGGACAGUUUAGUUAAUUAAGGCUCUAUGUUAGUUUCAAGUUUUAUCCUUGUUGCGGUAAAAAAUUAUGGUUGGAUUAACCACCAUGUACAUCUUUAAUUACUUUUAAAUAAGAAAUAUAAUCAAAAUAUUCUUUUGAAUUGAUAAAAUUUAUAUAAUUUGUACAAGUACAUGAAGGUGGAACAGGAGGAAGGGUGGGAGAAGAUUAGAUAUCGUUUCAUUUUCUUGCAAGGAAAGGAUGGUUACGAAGAAAUGACAAGAAAUGGAGGGACAAUCAGUUUUAUUACUGUAUGGAUGGAAACCACAUGCCAGCUUGUCCAACAUAUUUCUACAUUGAGUCAAUUAUUCAAUCGCUAUAUUUUUUUUAUUCCAUGGCAAUGCAUGGUCAUUCAACUAUUCAAAUUUACGG